CAGUAGCCGCGGUAAUACGUAGGGUGCAAGCGUUAUCCGGAAUUAUUGGGCGUAAAGGGCUCGUAGGCGGUUUGUUGCGUCGGGAGUGAAAACCUAUAGCUUAACUGUGGGCUUGCUUUCGAUACGGGCAGACUUGAGGCAUUCAGGGGAGAACGGAAUUCCUGGUGUAGCGGUGAAAUGCGUAGAGAUCUGGAGGAAUACCGAUGGCGAAGGCAGCCAUCUGGCCUAAUACUGACGCUGAGGUACGAAAGCAUGGGGAGCAAACAGGAUUAGAUACCCCAGUAGUCCCUGUCUCUUAUAC
rnacentral:rRNA from 1 species